UGGAGAGCGCUUUCAGGAAGUCGGACUUACAGGAGGCUGCGUACAGUGCUGCCUGGAAGAUCUGCACGAUCCAGCCGUGGUACUUCAUGAGGGCCAUUUCGUAGGCCUUGGUGGCGUUGACGCGGAUGAGGUUGAGGUGGUUCUCGUCCGGCUCCUCGUUGCAGAUGCUCUGGAGGAAGACCUGGAUGAAGCGGAGGCCUCUUUUCAGCCACAUCAGCGCCAGCGUGGCCCCUACUUUGAGCCGCUCUGCUCCAUACAUUUCUUUCUCCACCUCCAGGAUGUUCUGCAGGGUCCGGAACUUGGCUGGGUUGGUGUCGUACACAGCUUUGAUUUUUGUGAUGUUGCUGCUUAUGUCUGCCUUGAUGGGAGUAAACACUGGGGACCCAAGGCAAUCGAAGAAGGGCGGCAGGUGGGACACCGCCUCGAGGAAGGGCCCAGUCUCGAUCUGCUUGUCCGCGGGCAGCGGCUUCAGCAGGUGUUCGGUCAGCAGAGCCAUUUCGGGUUCGAGGCCCACGGUGAUGCCCCAGCCGGCACCGCGGGCGUCCACACCGCACCCCCCGCCACCGCCGUCAGCGCCCGGGCAGUCACAGCCCUUUUUUUGAGGCAGUGAGCAGACCUGCAAUGAAGGGGAACAGCUGUUCUCAGAACGACCAACUGCAGAGGACACUCUGUUGAGUGGGAGGUUCCUGUAGGAGUUCCAGUGAGAUCUGGUGACUGAGCCAGCCUUUGCAAGAUGCUGGAUGACCCUGUGAUUUUCAGGUAGGAGCUGCUUGAGAGAAAUAGUUACCAACACUCUUCUAAAUUCCACACCUAGUCUGUUGCACUAGAAAUUCCAAGACAGUUUCUCUGCUCUUAAAGACCUCAGGGUGCGGUUGAAGAGAAAGAUGUGAGGACAAAUAUUUGAAGUACACUGUUAUAAGUGCUGUAGUGGAGCAAUGUGUGAGGCCAAGUGAGUUCAGAAUGGGCUUCAGGGACAGAAUCUAAGCCUUCAUGAAGUUGAAGUUUUCUCCUAUCAAAAGAAAAAGAA
ensembl:lncRNA novel transcript, antisense to MRGPRX4